UACGGCCACAUCACGUUGAAACACCGGUUUCCGUAAGAUCACCAAAGUUAAGCAACGUCUAACCUAGUUAGUUACUAGAUGGGAGACCGCUUGGAAAUACCAGGUAUUGUAAG